rnacentral:lncRNA from 1 species
UCGAAGGAUCAAUUGCAUGCAGAUGGAAAUGAGAAUCGAGUGCAAGUUAUUCAAGGAGUAAAUGAUACAACAGCAAGGAGAUUGCAGUUUUCAGAAGUUAUGGAUCCAAAAAAUGCAGUACCAGAGGUUGUUGAAGCUGUUGACACAGAAAACCCAAAACCUACAAUGGCGGAAGUAGUCAGAGGCAACAGAGAUGUGCAAAUGGGUAAGCCUUUAUCAUUUGUUCCUCCUACUUUGA